rnacentral:lncRNA from 1 species
GAAAAACAAAGAAAGAAAUGAUUCCAGGACUUGAAACAAAAGCAAUUCUCAGCGAGCUGUUUUGUUCCAAAUUCCUGCUCUGCACCUUAGUUUCAACUUCUGUCACGCAACCUACUGAAAAGGAUUCAGUCUGGUGCUGCCAUUGCACUGUUCCAGAAGCAACGGUUCCUUCUCAUACCUUCCUGUCCCUUGAAUAGCCUACUACAGAAACACAGUGUGGACCCCUGUUUAUUAGCAGACCUGAACAGUGAAAAAGGAACCUCUGGAUUCCAGUGUAGAAGCAGAAGUAAGAUGAUUUUUCUGAAAGAGGAGGCCAUGCAGAGCCCAUCCCAGCCCCUGUGAGAGCAAUUUAAUCGAGCUGCAGGGCAAUAACGAGAAGAAGCCCUUCUUUAACUAACGCUUACAGAUUCCUAUGGGAAACUUGCAGACAAAUUCUUGCAAUCCUGUUUUUUUCUAUUUCCAUUUUCAUUGUCAAGACAAGUUCUG